CCCAACUUCAUCCACUAAACUAAGAUCGCAUAAUUUGAUAUCAGAGCUGGUUAAAACGAGAAGUACGGACGUCCAAAGUCAUCCCGAAAUAGGUACGUGAAAAUAAUUCAAAAAAAUGAAAAAAAUCGAAAUUAAAAAAAAAUAUAUAUGAAAUUAAAAAAAAAGAAAAAAAAUAUUCGUGAUUAAAAAAAAAGAGGAAUCAAAACGAUUUGUUUUCAAGUUUUGCGGAUUGAAGAAAGAUUGUUACACCUUUGUAACCCGGAUCACCCC
rnacentral:lncRNA from 1 species